UUGAACGCUGGCGGCAGGCUUAACACAUGCAAGUCGAGCGGAGAGAGGUAGCUUGCUACUGAUCUUAGCGGCGGACGGGUGAGUAAUACUUAGGAAUCUGGCUAUUAGUGGGGGACAACAUUUCGAAGGGGAUGCUAAUACCGCAUACGUCCUACGGGAGAAAGCAGGGGAUCUUCGGACCUUGCGCUAAUAGAUGAGCCUAAGUCGGAUUAGCUAGUUGGUGGGGUAAAGGCCUACCAAGGCGACGAUCUGUAGCGGGUCUGAGAGGAUGAUCCGCCACACUGGGACUGAGACACGGCCCAGACUCCUACGGGAGGCAGCAGUGGGGAAUUUUGGACAAUGGGGGCAACCCUGAUCCAGCAAUGCCGCGUGGGUGAAGAAGGCCUGCGGGUUGUAAAGCCCUUUCGACGGGGAGGAAGGCAC
rnacentral:rRNA from 1 species